rnacentral:rRNA from 1 species
UACGUAGGUGGCAAGCGUUGUCCGGAUUUACUGGGCGUAAAGAGCGCGCAGGCGGUUGAUUAAGUCGAAUGUGAAAGCCCCCGGCUCAACUGGGGAGGGUCAUUCGAUACUGAUCGACUUGAAGGCAGGAGAGGGUAGUGGAAUUCCCGGUGUAGUGGUGAAAUGCGUAGAUAUCGGGAGGAACACCAGUGGCGAAAGCGGCUCUCUGGUCCAAAACUGACGCUGAGGGGCGAAAGCGUGGGGAGCGAACGGG